GCAAGUCGAGCGCUUCCCUUCGGGGAGGAGCGGCGGACGGGUUAGUAACGCGUGGGAAUAUACCCUUUUCUACGGAAUAGCCUCGGGAAACUGAGAGUAAUACCGUAUACGCCCUUCGGGGGAAAGAUUUAUCGGUGAAGGAUUAGCCCGCGUAAGAUUAGAUAGUUGGUGGGGUAAUGGCCUACCAAGUCUACGAUCUUUAGCUGGUUUGAGAGGAUGAUC
rnacentral:rRNA from 1 species